GUUAUCCAGUCCUGUUCAGUUUGUCCUUCAUUACUAUCUCUCAAAUUUGUCCACUUUUUUACAUCCACGAGCUUUGUCUAUAAAUAACUUCUUGCUCUGGGCACUUCAGCAGUUUUUAAACUGGUUACCCUACCUCCAUUGCCUCUCUUCAACCAGUUCUACACAUUGAUAUGAGGGACCUUUCCAAAAUGCAUACUGGGCCAGUUUAAAUGUCACUACCCAGUUUAAAUCCUGAAAUGAUUUCUUCAACUAGAUUUAAGAUCUGAAAUGGUUCCUCUAUGUGUCUAGAUUUUAAAAUUUAAAUUCACUAGAAUGGGCCAUGAGACCAUCAAUGAUUUGGGUCCUGUCCACCUCUCCAGCCUCUCCCCCCAUGCCAGGUGGUUCAGCUUUAGUGAACUCCUGCAGUUUCCUUGCCACCCUGUGCUCUCUCAGGCCUCUUCCCACCACCCAGAAUGCCAUCUACCUCCUUCCCUCCACUGUACCUUCCUGCCCCCGCCCCGUCCCCAUUCCUCAGCUGACAUCCUGUCAAUUUAUUAAGAUAGCUCUGGCAUUGCCACCUCAGUAAAUCUCCAAUCCCUGUGACCUGUUAGGUGCUGCUCUUCUGGAGGCAGCAAAAGAUAAUAGACCUUUUUUUCAGAUGUGCUUGGAUUUAGUUGCUUUGUGACUUUGGCAAGGUUUCUAAUCUCUGAUCUGUUUUCUUACCUGCAGAAUGGAAAAAUUAUAUCUUACAGGGUUGUUAUGAAGGUGAAAUGAGAUAGUGCGUGCAAGCAUCAAGCACUGUGCUGGCACACAGUAGGCUUGCUUCUCUUCUCCAGUACAUGCUCCUACUACGCUACUUUAUGCCAGUAAGCAUCUGUUUCUAUUUUAAGUGUAGUUAACUCCUCUCCUGCUUUAGACAGGAGUUCCUUUAGGGUGUCUUCCAUCUCUGCAUCCCACCAAAUACAAGUAAAGGGCAUGUAUUUGAGGAGGAGGAAGAUGAGUUUUAUUUUGGACGUGAGUUUGAGGUGCCUCUGAGAAUGUACAAGCAGAGAUGUCCAUUUGGCAGUUGGAACCUGCUGGGUCUGGAGCUCAGCAGAAAUGUCCAGAUUGAAGAUAAAGUCUGGGGAGUGAGUUGGGAACGUGUCAAUGGUGGUCAAAGGCAUGGUUUGGGUGAGGUUACUGUCUGUAUUCAAAUUACUUAGAAAACCGAAUCUUAGGCAAAGCUAGUGUUAGCACUUUAUUGGAGGGUGAAGUCUCAGAACAGUGAGAGUGAGGGAAAGGAGGAAAAGAAAAUCAAAGGUUAGUGUUAGUGAGUUGGCUCCUGCCUCACAAAGACAGCUGGUCACUUUCCCAUGUUGGAUGUCUCUGGAUAGGCUACACAGAAACACCAUGACUGGCUGGAACAUUGUAUUUGGAUUGAUGGAGGGAUGGAGGGGAAAUUCACCUGCUCUGCUUCCUGCCCAUGCUUUACUGCCCAAAGUUUGCCAUGGGUCCAGUGUUAGCUCCCCACUUCCUUGCUGGGAUGAUAUUUCUUGGCCACUGGGAAAGCCAGAUUCCAUGCCUUGUGGCAUGGCAUUUAAUCUAAGUCCUGCAAUGGCAAGGGGAACAGAAUGUGGUCACCGGCCUGUGGGAGUUGGUCAGCACACAGCAAGCAGCUGGAGACCUGGGAGUCAGGGGAGGCUGAGAGAAUCUGAAGCAGCAAGUUACCUCAAGAGAGUAUACAGAGGGAAGGGAAGAUAGAACCCUGGGAAGCCCUGAGAGUUAAAGAGCCUGCAGCCUGAAGGGGCAUCCACUGCAAGCAGAGGGCCCCGGUAGAAAGCAUUGUCACAGAGCCAAGGGAGGAGAGAGAUUGAGAAACUCAAGAGGGCAGUCAAGUUCUGGGAAGUGGCCAUUGUGAUUCAGAGAUGCCUGAUGAGCUGGCCAGAGCAGUCUCCAUGGAAUAGAGGAAACAAACUAGGUUGUGGUGGCUAGAAAGGGGAGACAGCAGCUCACGCUUACUCUGUGCCCUGGGUGGCGUCCAUUCAUGGGGAUUGUGGAGAAUGGAUAGCCAGGCAGAUGACCAGGGAAUGAUUUCUGGAAACUCGGAUGUGAUGGUAGCAGAGAGGCCUGGCGAGGUGCUCUGUGUACCAAGGAUGGAGCAUAGCAUAGUAACAGCCACCUUUGAUUCAUCCAAAGCCAGAAAUGCCAGUGUGACAGAACCAAGCAGACUGGCUGGCAGUUGGCAGGGACAGGAUAUAAACAUUCUCAACUCUGUUCCCUGGGUGCUUCUCUCUUUUGGUGGGUUUUGGGAAGUUUCCUAGGAUUAACGUUACCUGCCCCAGCAUGGAGGCAGCUUUGUGAAAUAAGAAUAGGGCUUAUAUUCCAUCUCUUCCACUAUUGAGCUGUCUGAAUGUGGGGAAGGUGCUUAACCUUUUAACUUCAGUUUCUCUAUUUGUAAUAGGCCAAUAGCACCUUCCUCAGGUGAUAAUCUUAGGUAAUCUUCAGGGAGAAAAUUAAAUGACAUAACAUGCUUGAUACAGAUGCUUAAAAAAGGCUACCUGGGAGAGGCCGAUACUAAACAAAUGAAAAGGAAACAAAAUAGAAGCAGUCACAUUCCCAAGACGUACACUUGUGACACACAUAACCAUCUUUUGAGCCCCAAAGGAUAGGUAGCCAUGGCCAGGUGCGGUGGCUCAUGCCUGUAAUCCCAGCACUUUGGGAGGCCGAGGUGGGCGGAUCACGAGGUCAAGAGAUCAAGACCAUCCUGGCCAACAUGGUGAAACUGCAUCUCUACUAAAAAUACAAAAAUUAGCUGGGCGUUGUGGCACAUGCCUAUAGUCCCAGCUACUUGGGAGGCUGAGGCAGGAGAAUCACUUGAACCCCAGGAGGCGGAGGUUGCAGUGAGCCGAGAUCGCGCCACUGCACUCCAGUCUGGCGACUGAGUGAGACUCUGCCUCAAAAAAAAAAAAAGGAAAAGAAGGAUAGGUAGCCCUUUGUGCCCCAGCUUUCAGCUUGUUUCUGUGGGUGGCUACUGUCUUAUUUUCUAUCAUCCAGGCACUGUUUCCUCCUCGUUUUAGCAGGCCAAGGCUGAGAGAGAAUCUAAACAUGGUGGCACCUCCCUCACUCCACUCCCACAAUUUGAAUUCACCUGCUUAGUUCACAUUUUCAGUGCUCUACCUCAGUGGGGAGCAGGGGUGGGGCAAUGCAAAGACCCAAAUCUGCUGCUGGGUAAUCCUAGGGAAUGUACCAGGCCCCAGAGCUGAGUCUACCCUACACAGCCAUGAGGCAAAAAGUGAAUUAGGAACAGGUAUGCUCUAUAGCCUCGGUACUGUGGAAGUUUUACAGCACAGGUGACCUUGGCCCCUGUCAAGUAGGCCCAGGGCACCUGGAAAACACUUAAGUCUGAGGGUGAGUGGUCCCUCCUGCUUCUCUGUGGUUAUUGUUUCAUGUAGCCAGCUCUUCUAUGUGUAUGGGUAGCAUGACCAUUCACCUAGCCUCCCUCCUUCUCUAUUAUCUGUGCCACCCGAAACAGGUAUUGCUACUCCCAGGGACAGAGGUCCUCAGAGGGGCAGCCUGGGGCGUUUGGCCUACAUUCCUUUUCCAAAGGCUGGGGAGUUUGGAUGUGGGAAUUGGACUCUUCUUGCUCAAAUAAUGGGUGCCAGAGUAAAUAGAUGUCUCUCACCCUGUGUUUUGUUACUUUUUAUUACGGAAAAUUUUAACAUACAAAUGAGAGGAGAGUGUAAUGACUUACAUGUACAAUAUAUGUUCAUUUCAUGGUU